rnacentral:lncRNA from 1 species
AUGGUGAUGUGGCCCGUGGCCAGUAGGUGUCCCCGGAGCCUGCAGAAUCUGGGGAGCGAGGUGGCGCCCGUGAGCCCCUGCUGUGGUCACACCAGGAGCGCCUCCCACCCAGCCGGGCCCACGGAGGUCCCCGGAGCCACCUGUGCCAGGAGCCGGGGCAGCAGUGCACACGCAGCUGUGUAUACGUGGGGAACACAGAGACACAGGGUGUACGUGGGGCACACAGCACACGGAGACACAGGGUGUACGUGGGGCACACAGCACACGGAGACACAGGGUGUACAUGGGGCAUGCACACAGCACACGGAGACACAGGGUGUGCGUGGGGCACACACACACAGCACACGGAGACACAGGGUGUACAUGGGGCACACACACAGCACACGGAGACACAGGGUGUACAUGGGGCACACACAGCACACGGAGACACAGGGUGUACAUGGGGCACACAGCACACGGAGACACAGGGUGUACAUGGGGCACACACAGCACACGGAGACACAGGGUGUACAUGGAGCACACACAGCACACGGAGACACAGGGUGUACAUGGGGCACACACAGCACACGGAGACACAGGGUGUACAUGGGGCACACACACAGCACACGGAGACACAGGGUGUACAUGGGGCACACACACAGCACACGGAGACACAGGGUGUACAUGGGGCACACACACAGCACACGGAGACACAGGGUGUACACGGAAAACAGAGACACAAAGUACAUGGGGAAUAGCACACACAGGCACAGAGACAGCAAGUGUAUACGUGUGCAGGGCACACGGAGAUGCAGGGUGUACAUGGGGAACACACAGAGACCUACACACACAUGCAGUACCUGCAGGGCACACGCGGAGACAGAGUGUACAUGGGGAACCCAGCACACGCAGGGCACAUGGAGAUGCAGGGUGUACGCGGGGAACACACAGAGACACACACACACACGGUACCUGCAGGGCACACAUGGAGACAAAGGGCGUACACGGGGACCACAGCACAUGCAGGGCACACGGAGAUGCACAGUGUACAUGGGGAAAACACAGAGACCCACACAUAGACACGGUACCCACAGGGCACACAUGGAGGCAGAGGGUGUACAUGGAGACAGAGGGCAUACACGGGGAACACACAGAGAUGCAGGGUGUACGCGGGGAACACACAGAGACCCCCCCCCACGGUACCUGCAGGGCACACAUGGAGACAGAGGGUGUACACGGGGACCACAGCAUACGCAGGGCACAUGGAGAUGCACGGUGUACAUGGGGAAAACACAGAGACCCACACACAGGCACGGUACCUGCAGGGCACACAUGGAGACAGAGGGUGUACAUGGGGAACAGAGACCCACACACAGACACAGCACAUGCAGGGCACACAUGGAGACAGAGGGCAUGCACGGGGACCACAGCAUACGCAGGGCACACGGAGAUGCACAGUGUACAUGGGGAAAACACAGAGACCCACACACAGGCACGGUACCUGCAGGGCACACAUGGAGACAGAGGGCGUACACGAGGAACACACAGAGACCCCACACACACAUGGUACCCGCAGGGCACACAUGGAGAGGGCGUACAUGCAGGGCACACGGAGCUACACGGUGUACAUGGGGAACACGCACACACGGUACCCACAGAGGGCAUACACACAGGGCACACGGAGCUACACGGUGUACAUGGGGAACACGCACACACAUGCACGGUACCCACAGGGCACACAUGGAGAUGGCGUACACGGGGAACACAGCGAGACCCCCCCCAUGGUACCCGCAGGGCACAGAUGGAGAGGGCUUACACGCAGGGCACAUGGAGCUGCAUGGUGUAUAUCAGGAACACACAGAGGCACACACACACACACGGUACCCACAGAGCACAUACAGAGACAGAGGGCGUACACACAGGGCACACGGAGCUACACGGUGUACACAGGGAACACACACACACACACACGGUACUCGCAGGGCACACGGAGACACAGCUGUGCACUUCUCCAGGCCUCAGGAGCCUCCUGAAGUCAGAGCCCUGGAUCCAGACACUGAUCAGACAGGUGCCCCCCCACCUUCCCACAGGACCAAGGCCGUGUGA